rnacentral:rRNA from 1 species
UACGUAGGUGGCAAGCGUUGUCCGGAUUUAUUGGGUUUAAAGGGUGCGUAGGCGGCCAAUUAAGUCAGGGGUGAAAGACGGUAGCUUAACUAUCGCAGUGCCUUUGAUACUGAUUGGCUUGAAUGUACUUGAGGUAGGCGGAAUGUGACAAGUAGCGGUGAAAUGCAUAGAUAUGUCACAGAACACCAAUUGCGAAGGCAGCUUACUAAAGUAUGAUUGACGCUGAGGCACGAAAGCGUGGGGAUCAAACAGG